AUUGUGAUUAUGUCUGACAAAAUUCUUUUCUUACUGUUUGGACAGUGAAGAGUGUGAAGAUUCUAUAGGGCUAAAAUUAUUAGCAAAGGCUCGCUAUUCUUUGGCAAGGUUUAAAGGUGAACAAAUUGUGAUCCUAUCGCAGGUGCUGGCAAACGAAGUAAACAUAGGAUAUGAAGACAUGAGCAAUCAACAGGUCUUGAAGUUCAACGGCACUCGAAUAAAAAACAUUAAUCACCUCGCCCACCUCAUUGACCCAUGUAAGGACAAGUACCUAGUUUUUGAAUUUGAAGAAAACUAUCUGGCUGUCCUGGAGAGAGAAGCAGCUGUGGCGGCCUCGUCCUGCAUUCUCAAAGAUUAUGGGAUUCCAGCCGAAAGAUCUUCAGAUCUUUUAGAACCUUAUGUGGAUUCGCUAACGGAUAAUGAAAAAGUAGAGCAAGAUUUCGGCGAUAGUCCAGUUUCAAGUUUGGAAAUCGGGAAUGAUGGAAUUUUGUGGGCAUAGUUAACCGACAGUCGAAGUUGGCCUAAUUUUUUUCACCCUCAUAGCAUCUCUACUAGAGGCAGGGUUGCAUCAUCGAUAAGGAUGAUAUUAUUUUUUCGAGCCUGUGUGAUUCUUGAUCAAUUUUUUCUUUAUCAGGUAGAGAUCGAAUUAUGAGCGGUUCUACAUGUAAAUUAUCGUAGUCGUAUUUUUUUAAAUUUUUUUUUGACAACCGAGUAAUUCCAGAUCUUGGGUCGAACA